AGGUGCGCUGCGGGGGCGGGGGCGGGGCGGGGCCUGCCCUCCCGGCCCCGUGCCCCGCGCUCUCACUCGGACCGGGAGCCCGCGACAGACUGGACACGCCGGGGCCGCUGCGUCUCCAGCGAUCGCCAGGCUGACCUAACGCUCCUCCUCCUAGUCAGAGCCAAGAAAAGGACAUUAAAAAGAAGAAGGAAAGCGGGCCUGACAGUGAGGUGAAGAAUCCACCAAAUUUUGUGAAGGAAAGAUUGAAGCUUUUUGAAAUACUGAAGAAAGAUCA